UCACUGUUGCCGGGGACACGGCCCGGAAAUUAAACUGUUUGUCUCGUCACUGCACAGGAAAUUACCUCAGCGCUUCUAGAGAGAAAUAGGAGUUAAAACGGUGUACAGCCGAAAGCAUUCUAACUUGCUGAUAUGGGCACUCCAAUGCACAGGAACACAAGAGUCUAAAGAGAAUGGUGGACUCAGACAAUUCCAUCACAGGUAGAGCUCUCCCCAACAUUAAGGAAAUGUCUCAGGAAGGUCUCUUCACACUGUUACCAUCAGGCAGGAGGUACAGGAGCCUGAAGACUUAAGAAUCUCAUCACCCAUCCCAUCCAUACCAUUGGUACCAACGUGGACCGCAACCUCUGACUGCUCACCCUCCCACUUAAGAAUGUGGACACUGGAACGCAGUCGUCGACACUAAGGUUUCCUUUUUUUUUUAUGAUGUCACAUAACAGCCCAUGUCUUUUUUUUUACUUUGGUUGAGAUUACUGUUAAUACUGUUUAGAUUAGUUUUUUUUGGGGGGGGGGGUUACAAUUUUUUUUCUUUUUCAUGAUUUUUUUAGAUAUUUUUAUUUGUUUUAUAUUGUUCAUCUGUAUCCUAUAUGGUUGGGAGUUUUAUCAUUUAAGUGUCAACUGCCUUUAUAAUUAACUAUGCCAAUUAUAACAAUGUAUUCCCAAUAACUUUGUACCAUU